rnacentral:rRNA from 1 species
AUUGAACGCUGGCGGCAGGCCUAACCCAUGCAAGUCGAGCGAGCGGCGGACGGGUGAGUAAUGUAUGGGGACUGCCCGAUAGAGGGGGAUAACUACUGGAAACGGUAGCUAAUACCGCAUACUAUCGGAUAACCCAUAUGGGAUUAGCUAGUGGGUGAGGUAAUGGCUCACCUAGGCGACGAUCCCUAGCGGGUCUGAGAGGAUGAUCAGCCACACUGGGACUGAGACACGGCCCAGACUCCAACGGAGGCAGCAGUGGGGAAUAUUGCACAAUGGGCGCAAGCCUGAUACAGCCAUGCCGCGUGUAUGAAGAAGGCCCUAGGGUUGUAAAGUACUUUCAGUCGGGAGGCGUUACCGACAGAAGAAGCACCGGCUAACUCCGUGCCAGCCGCCGCGGUAAUUC